AGCAGCCGCGGUAAUUCCAGCUCCAAUAGCGUAUAUUAAAGUUGUUGCAGUUAAAAAGCUCGUAGUUGAAUUUCGGAAUUUGUCGGUUGGUCGGGCUUCACUGUCCGCACUGGCCUGAUGGAUUCCUACCUUCUGAAUAACCAGCAUGCUAUUAAGUUAGUGCGUUGGGGAAGCAGAGCUAUUACCUUGAAAAAUUAGAGUGCUUAAAGCAGGCUUGUGCUUGAAUAGAUUAGCAUGGAAUAAUAAAAUAGGACGGCAUGGUUCUAUUUUGUUGGUUUCUAGGAUCACCGUAAUGAUUAAUAGGGAUAGUUGGGGGCAUUAGUAUUCAAUUGUCAGAGGUGAAAUUCUUGGAUUUAUUGAAGACUAACUUCUGCGAAAGCAUUUGCCAAGGAUGUUUUCAUUAAUCAAGAACGAAAGUUAGGGGAUCGAAGACGAUCAGAUACCGUCGUAGUCUUAACCAUAAACUAUGCCGACUAGGGAUCGGACGAUGUUAAUUUUUAAUGACUCGUUCGGUACG
rnacentral:rRNA from 1 species